rnacentral:lncRNA from 1 species
CGCGUUCUGUCAUUUGGAGCUGCACAAUCGCUUCUCAAUGCAUCUUUUUGAUUCCUUGCUCAUACCAAACAUCAAAACUAAUAGAACUAGCAAUUAGAGACUAAAAUUGGAACUAAAUUGAGUAAAAUAAAGCUGAAAUGCAAUAAAUAAAUACGGUGCAAAGGAUAUAAAAUUGGGUUGCCUCCCAAUAAGCGCUCGUUUAGUGUCUUGAGCUUGACGUCUCAACU